rnacentral:pre_miRNA from 1 species
UGUUUAGCACAAGUAUGUUUUAUGCAAUAUUUGGAACAUACUUAUACUAAAA